rnacentral:rRNA from 1 species
GAUGAACGCUGGCUACAGGCUUAACACAUGCAAGUCGAGGGGAAACGGCAUUGAGUGCUUGCACUGAAUGGACGUCGACCGGCGCACGGGUGAGUAACGCGUAUCCAACCUUCCCGUUACUGCGGGAUAACCUGCCGAAAGGCAGACUAAUACCGCAUGUUCUUCGAUGACAGCAUCAGAUUCGAAGCAAAGAUUCUUCGGUAACGGAGGGGGAUGCGUCUGAUUAGCUAGUUGGCGGGGCGACGGCCCACCAAGGCGACGAUCAGUAGGGGUUCUGAGAGGAAGGUCCCCCACAUUGGAACUGAGACACGGUCCAAACUCCUACGGGAGGCAGCAGUGAGGAAUAUUGGUCAAUGGGCGGAAGCCUGAACCAGCCAAGUAGCGUGCAGGAUGACGGCCCUACGGGUUGUAAACUGCUUUUAUGCGGGGAUAAAGUGAGGGACGCGUACCCUUUUUGCAGGUACC